rnacentral:rRNA from 1 species
ACGGACCGCACAGCGGUGGAUGAUGUUGGUUUAAUUCGAUGACAACCGACGAAAAACCCUUACCCACCUUUGACAUGUACGGAAUCCUCUAGAGAUAGAGGAGUGCUCGAAAGAGAGCCGUAACACAGGUGCUGCAUGGCUGUCGUCAGCUCGUGUCGUGAGAUGUUGGGUUAAGUCCCGCAACGAGCGCAACCCUUGUCAUUAGUUGCUACGAAAGGGCACUCUAAUGAGACUGCCGGUGACAAACCGGAGGAAGGUGGGGAUGACGUCAAGUCCUCAUGGCCCUUAUAGGUGGGGCUACACACGUCAUACAAUGGCUGGCACAAAGGGUUGCCAACCCGCGAGGGGGAGCCAAUCCCAUAAAGCCAGUCGUAGUCCGGAUCGCAGUCUGCAACUCGACUGCGUGAAGUCGGAAUCGCUAGUAAUCGUGGAUCAGCAUGUCACGGUGAAUACGUUCCCGGGUCUU